rnacentral:rRNA from 1 species
UCUGGCCGCGAGAGAGAUAUAGAGUUUGAUCCUGGCUCCAGGAUGAACGCUAGCGGCGUGCAUAACACAUUCAAGUCGAACGGAAGCAGCAAUGCUUUAGUGGCGGACGGGUGAGUAACGCGUGAGUAACCUGCCUUCAAGUGGGGAACAACAGUUGGAAACGACUGCUAAUACCGACAAUAAUGCAACGGAAUCGCAUGUUUCUGUUGCCGAAGGGCCGCAAGGUCUGCUUGAAGAUGGACUCGCGUCCGAUUAGGUAGUUGGUGAGGCAACGGCUCACCAAGCCGACGAUCGGUAGCCGGACUGAGAGGUUGAACGGCCACAUUGGAACUGAGAUACGGUCCAGACUCCUACGGGAGGCAGCAGUGGGGAAUAUUGGGCAAUGGGCGAAAGCCUGACCCACGACGCCGCGUGAAGAAGAAGGUCUUCGAUUGUAAACUUUUGUUGUGGAACAAAAGGGGGGACUUAA